GUGAGGAAUUUUCCGCAAUGGGCGAAAGCCUGACGGAGCAAUGCCGCGUGAAGGAUGAAGGCCUAUGGGUUGUAAACUUCUUUUCUCAGAAAAGAAUUAUGACGGUAUCUGAGGAAUAAGCAUCGGCUAACUCUGUGCCAGCAGCCGCGGUAAGACAGAGGAUGCAAGCGUUAUCCGGAAUGAUUGGGCGUAAAGCGUCUGUAGGUUGUUUAAAAAGUAUUCUGUCAAAGAUUAGGGCUUAACCCUAGAUAGGCAGAAUAAACUUUUAAGCUAGAGUUUGGUAGAGGCAGAGGGAAUUCCCGGUGGAGCGGUGAAAUGCGUAGAUAUCGGGAGGAACACCAAAGGCGAAGGCACUCUGCUGGGCCAAUACUAACACUGAGAGACGAAAGCGAGGGGAGCAAAUGGGAUUGGAAACCCCUGUAGUCC
rnacentral:rRNA from 1 species